UUUGGUUACAGUUGUACGUUAUCUGUACAAUGUAACCAUAUAACAUGAUUAUUCAGGUGACAGUGGGUACCCGCUGAAGACGUGGCUCCUCACCCCUCUCGCCAACCCACUGACUGAACAAGAGCGAUGUUAUACUGACCUCCACUCUCGGGCUCGGGCAGUGGUAGAAUGUACUAUAGGGCAGCUUAAGGGCCGUUGGCGCUGCCUGGAUAAGACUGGUGGAGUGCUGCUCUAUAGUCCACAGAAAGUGUGUCGCAUCGUGCAAACAUGUAGCAUUCUACAUAAUAUGGCACUCAUUCGGAACUUGCCCGUACCUGAAGAGAUGCGAUAUGAUGAACCUGACCCUAGACCACCAAAUGAUCAGCCACACCGGACAGCAUUACAAUGUCGAAUGAAUGUAAUUAACAGAAUGUAAAAACAGGACUGCAUCAGUCAGCACACGGCCAGAUGAUCGCCCACCAGUUUCCGAGGCAGGGGUGUGUGAGCAGCCAGUGCCCGAAGAUGUGGUUGGCACAGAAGCAGCACCAUCAUCGCCUGGAACCAUGUCCUCCUCAUUUGGGUCAGCUUUUGUACUAUUGUCUAGAAGUAAAUAAACAGUAAUUAAUA